CGUAGGUGGCAAGCGUUGUCCGGAUUUAUUGGGUUUAAAGGGUGCGUAGGCGGUCCUAUAAGUCAGUGCUGAAAUAUCCCGGCUUAACCGGGAGGGUGGCAUUGAUACUGCAGGACUUGAGUAAAGUUGAGGUAAGCGGAAUUGACGGUGUAGCGGUGAAAUGCUUAGAUAUCGUCAAGAACACCUAUUGCGAAGGCAGCUUACUAAGCUUUAACUGACGCUGAGGCACGAAAGUGUGGGGAUCAAACAGGAUUAGAUACCCUGGUAGUCCACACUGUAAACGUUGAUUACUCGAUGUUGGCGAUACACAGUCAGCGUCUUAGCGAAAGCGAUAAGUAAUCCACCUGGGGAGUACGCCGGCAACGGUG
rnacentral:rRNA from 1 species